rnacentral:rRNA from 1 species
AGCGAACGCUGGCGGCAGGCUUAACACAUGCAAGUCGAGCGCCCGUAGCAAUACGGGAGCGGCAGACGGGUGAGUAACACGUGGGAACGUGCCUUUUGGUUCGGAACAACUGAGGGAAACUUCAGCUAAUACCGGAUAAGCCCUUACGGGGAAAGAUUUAUCGCCAAAAGAUCGGCCCGCGUCUGAUUAGCUAGUUGGUGGGGUAAUGGCCCACCAAGGCUACGAUCAGUAGCUGGUCUGAGAGGAUGAUCAGCCACACUGGGACUGAGACACGGCCCAGACUCCUACGGGAGGCAGCAGUGGGGAAGUCUUUGGACAAUGGGCGCAAGCCUGAUCCAGCCAUGCCGCGUGAGUGAUGAAGGCCUUAGGGUUGUAAAGCUCUUU